rnacentral:rRNA from 1 species
UACGUGAGGCGCAAGCGUUGUCCGGAAUUAUUGGGCGUAAAGAGCUCGUAGGUGGCGUGUCGCGUCUGCCGUGAAAGCCCAUGGCUUAACUGUGGGUCUGCGGUGGAUACGGGCAGGCUAGAGGCUGGUAGGGGCAAGCGGAAUUCCUGGUGUAGCGGUGAAAUGCGCAGAUAUCAGGAGGAACACCGGUGGCGAAGGCGGCUUGCUGGGCCAGUUCUGACGCUGAGGAGCGAAAGCGUGGGGAGCGAACAGG